GAUGAACGCUGGCGGCGUGCCUAAUACAUGCAAGUCGAGCGAACAGACGAGGAGCUUGCUCCUCUGACGUUAGCGGCGGACGGGUGAGUAACACGUGGAUAACCUACCUAUAAGACUGGGAUAACUUCGGGAAACCGGAGCUAAUACCGGAUAAUAUUUUGAACCGCAUGGUUCAUUAGUGAAAGACGGUUUUGCUGUCACUUAUAGAUGGAUCCGCGCUGCAUUAGCUAGUUGGUAAGGUAACGGCUUACCAAGGCAACGAUGCGUAGCCGACCUGAGAGGGUGAUCGGCCACACUGGAACUGAGACACGGUCCAGACUCCUACGGGAGGCAGCAGUAGGGAAUCUUCCGCAAUGGGCGAAAGCUUGACGGAGCAACGCCGCGUGAGUGAUGAAGGUCUUCGGAUCGUAAAACUCUGUUAUUAGGGAAGAACAAAUGUGUAAGUAACUAUGCACGUCUUGACGGUACCUAAUCAGAAAGCCACGGCUAACUACGUG
rnacentral:rRNA from 1 species